rnacentral:rRNA from 1 species
UACGUAGGCAGCAAGCGUUGUUCGGAGUUACUGGGCGUAAAGGGUGCGUAGGCGGCUUUUUAAGUUUGGUGUGAAAUCUCCCGGCUCAACUGGGAGGGUGCGCCGAAUACUGAGAGGCUAGAGUGUGGGAGAGGAAAGUGGAAUUCCUGGUGUAGCGGUGAAAUGCGUAGAUAUCAGGAGGAACACCGGUGGUGUAAACGGCUUUCUGGACCAUAACUGACGCUGAUGCACGAAAGCGUGGGUAGCAAACAG